UAUUUUUGUGAUUUUUGAAUAGAUAUACGCUCCAUAUUUCCGUGUGGGAAGUGUGCUAUGGUUAAAGUAGUCUCGAUUGUUGCAGCGUCAGUUGCACGGUGAAAUCUUCGAGAUUUGUCAACUGUCUAGGGAUACAAGUGCCGACCUUACCACGACGGGUGCUUGACACGAACUCUGUGGUCAAGCGAGGUGUUGCUUGUGGCGUGUACUUAUGGCGAGUUCUUGUGAAGCACGAUAUAUGCAACAGGGAAAAUACCGUUCAGGCAA